UACGUAGGGUGCAAGCGUUUGUCCGGAUUUAUUGGGCGUAAAGAGCUCGUAGGCGGCUUGUUGCGUCGACUGUGAAAACCCGCGGCUUAACCGCGGGCUUGCAGUUGAUACGGGCAGGCUAGAGUUCGGUAGGGGAGACUGGAAUUCCUGGUGUAGCGGUGAAAUGCGCAGAUAUCAGGAGGAACACCGGUGGCGAAGGCGGGUCUCUGGGCCGAUACUGACGCUGAGGAGCGAAAGCGUGGGGGAGCGAACAGG
rnacentral:rRNA from 1 species